GACGUAGGGCGCGAGCGUUGUCCGGAUUUAUUGGGCGUAAAGAGCUCGUAGGCGGCUUGUCGCGUCGACUGUGAAAUCCCGCGGCUCAACUGCGGGUCUGCAGUCGAUACGGGCAGGCUAGAGUUCGGUAGGGGAGACUGGAAUUCCUGGUGUAGCGGUGAAAUGCGCAGAUAUCAGGAGGAACACCGGUGGCGAAGGCGGGACUCUGGGCCGAUACUGACGUGGAGGAAGCGAAAAGCGUGGGGAGCAAACAGG
rnacentral:rRNA from 1 species